rnacentral:rRNA from 1 species
GAUGAACGCUGGCGGCGUGCUUAACACAUGCAAGUCGAACGAUGAAGCCCAGCUUGCUGGGUGGAUUAGUGGCGAACGGGUGAGUAACACGUGAGUAACCUGCCCAUAACUCUGGGAUAAGCCUGGGAAACUGGGUCUAAUACCGGAUAGGAGCGUCCACCGCAUGGUGGGUGUUGGAAAGAUUUAUCGGUUUUGGAUGGACUCGCGGCCUAUCAGCUUGUUGGUGAGGUAAUGGCUCACCAAGGCGACGACGGGUAGCCGGCCUGAGAGGGUGACCGGCCACACUGGGACUGAGACACGGCCCAGACUCCUACGGGAGGCAGCAGUGGGGAAUAUUGCACAAUGGGCGCAAGCCUGAUGCAGCGACGCCGCGUGAGGGAUGACGGCCUUCGGGUUGUAAACCUCUUUCAGUAGGGAAGAAGCGAAAGUGACGGUACCUGCAGAAGAAGCACCGGCUAACUACGUG